rnacentral:rRNA from 1 species
GUGCCAGACUCCUACGGGAGGCAGCAGUGGGGAAUAUUGCACAAUGGGGGAAACCCUGAUGCAGCGACGCCGCGUGAAGGACGAAGUAUUUCGGUCCGUAAACUUCUAUCAGCAGGGAAGAAAAUGACGGUACCUGACCAAGAAGCCCCGGCUAACUACGUGCCAGCAGCCGCGGUAAUACGUAGGGGGUAAGCGUUAUCCGGAUUUAUUGGGUGUAAAGGGAGCGUAGACGGCCAUGCAAGUCUGAUGUGAAAACCCGGGGCUCAACCCCGGGACUGCAUUGGAAACUGUGCGGCUGGAGUGUCGGAGAGGCAAGUGGAAUUCCUAGUGUAGCGGUGAAAUGCGUAGAUAUUAGGAGGAACACCAGUGGCGAAGGCGGCUUACUGGACUGUAACUGACGUUGAGGCUCGAAAGCGUGGGGAGCAAACAGGAUUAGAUACCCCAGUAC